GCUGGCUUAGCUCAUCUGGUAGAGCGCCUGACUUGUAAUCAGGGGGUAGUAGGUUCAAGUCCUACAGCCAGCGCCA
rnacentral:tRNA from 1 species